AUGGUGGGUGGAUGAAAGACCUG
rnacentral:piRNA from 1 species